GACGAACGCUGGCGGCGUGCUUAACACAUGCAAGUCGAACGGAAAGGCCCUGCUUUUGUGGGGUGCUCGAGUGGCGAACGGGUGAGUAACACGUGAGUAACCUGCCCUUGACUUUGUGAUAACUUCAGGAAACUGGGGCUAAUACCGGAUAGGAGCUCCUGCUGCAUUGUGGGGGUUGGAAAGUUUCGGCGGUUUGGUAUGGACUCGCGGCUUAUCAGCUUGUUUGUGGGGUAGUGGCUUACCAAGGCUUUGACGGGUAGCCGGCCUGAGAGGGAUACCGGCCACAUUGGAAAUGAGUACGGGACGAGACAGUGAGGGAUAGCAGCAGAGGGGCAUAUGGCAGAACCGGCGGAGGAGUGAGGAGGAAGAGCGGCGUGCGGGAUGUAAGCCUUUGGGUUGUAAAGAGAUUUCGAGGGUCACGACGCGAGAGGGAGGGACCUUAGUAAAGAAGAACCGGUUAAUUCGGU
rnacentral:rRNA from 1 species